GCUGCACUAAAUUUUGGCCUACACAUUGCCAGCACUGUUCCUGCUCUGUGUCUGUGAACAGCCAUUCAUUCCCUUGGCUGAGUAGAAUCCUGCUGAAGUCAAUGGCUGUUCUGUCUUUGACUUCCACGACUCUUGACUUUCAGCCUGUGCCUCAAACGAGCAUCAGAAAGUUCCCAGUGACAGCAGCUAAAGCCAUGGAUUUGAUUAAAUGUGCCUGCAAGGCUGGCACUGCUGGUGAUUCAGCUCUGCUCACACGAUGAGACAGGUGAAUGUGUCUUCUGGGUGUCCAAUGGCAGUCACAUACACACGUGUCCAAAUGCAGGACUGCUCGUGAACUGAACACAAGGGAAGAACAUAUCACAUGGCAACAGUAUCUGAAAGCUGUUCUCAAAAAUCCUUUAGGAAAGGCAGGAUGAUAUAUUGGGCCAAGGAAUACACUGUUUUGUCUUCUGGCAGAAUUUUCCUGAUCAGAAAUAAUUUCACAGAAGGCAAACUUCUCAUCAGCUCUUAGCAGAAUUAAGGACCACUUAUGGAGACAGAAAAGGACACAGCAAGUAUUUUAUCCACCCUCCUCAAGAAUCAAGCAAGCCCAGGAUCCUGAGACCAGAUCUUUAAGGAGACAUAUUGCAACUUCCAUUACUUGCUUCAGAAGAGUUCUUCAUAAAAAUUCCCAUUCAGGCCCAUUUAGUAGUCCCAGACACUGAUGGAUGAAAGAACUUAAAAGUUAC